UUCCUGGUGUCUAUGGCGCGGUGGACCCACUCCGACCCCAUCCCGAACUCGGAAGUGAAACGCUGCUGCGGCGACGAUACUUAGGGGGUUGCCCCUCGGUACAAUAGCUCGAUGCCAGGUU
rnacentral:rRNA from 1 species